rnacentral:rRNA from 1 species
GACGAACGCUGGCGGCGCGCUUAACACAUGCAAGUCGAGCGAGAACCAGCCCUUCGGGGCUGGGGACAGCGGCGAACGGGUGAGUAACACGUGGGUAAUCUGCCCUCGGCACCGGGAUAGCCCGGGGAAACCCGGAUUAAUACCGGAUGGCCUUUCGAGCCCUCGGGCUUGAGAGAAAAGGUAGCUUUGGCCUCUGGCCGAGGAUGAGCCCGCGGCCGAUUAGCUUGUUGGUGAGGUAAUGGCCCACCAAGGCGACGAUCGGUAGCUGGUCUGAGAGGACGAUCAGCCACACUGGGACUGAGACACGGCCCAGACUCCUACGGGAGGCAGCAGUGGGGAAUCUUGCGCAAUGGGCGAAAGCCUGACGCAGCGACGCCGCGUGAGGGAUGACGG